CCCAUAACGGUGUACACCCUGAUGGUGGCACUGCACAUGUUAAUAAAAGCGUUUUGUUCUCUCAUAGUGACUCUAUUUUAAUCUGUAUUUGACAUUAAAGCACAAUAGUGAAAAGCAGAAAAAAUAAUUGAAAAAAAACAACAACAAAUGGAUGGAAAAAAAAAGCAAAUAUUCUGCCAUUAAGAUGCUUUAACUAACCCGUGUGACAGUUUUCAUAAGUUAUCGGCGGCUGUAAACCAAGAUGUUAAAUUGUCUGGCUGUUCUAUUAACUGCAAAUAAUCCUAUCCCCUUAGCCGCAGCCA